UCGGGAAUUUUGGGCAAUGGGCGAAAGCCUGACCCAGCAACGCCGCGUGAAGGAUGAAGUAUUUCGGUAUGUAAACUUCGAAAGAAUAGGAAGAAUAAAUGACGGUACUAUUUAUAAGGUCCGGCUAACUACGUGCCAGCAGCCGCAGUAAUACGUAGGGACCAAGCGUUGUUCGGAUUUACUGGGCGUAAAGGGCGCGUAGGCGGCAAUUCAAGUCAUCUGUGAAAUCUCCGGGCUUAACUCGGAACGGUCAGAUGAUACUGCUUUGCUAGAGUGCAGAAGGGGCAAUCGGAAUUCUUGGUGUAGCGGUGAAAUGCGUAGAUAUCAAGAGGAACACCUGAGGUGAAGACGAGUUGCUAGGCUGACACUGACGCUGAGGUACGAAAGCUAGGGGAGCGAACGGGAUUAGAUACCCGAGUAGUCCCUGAGCGGGCUGGCAAGGCGCAU
rnacentral:rRNA from 1 species